GGUGUGAAAGGGCAAACCCGCGCGAAAGCCGGGGGCGCAAAGUCACCGGCCUACAGCCGCCCGGGCGGCCACGGCGGCGGGACUGCCAAC
rnacentral:ncRNA from 1 species